rnacentral:rRNA from 1 species
GGGUUGUGAGGUUAAGCGACUAAGCGUACACGGUGGAUGCCCUGGCAGUCAGAGGCGAUGAAGGACGUGCUAAUCUGCGAAAAGCGUCGGUAAGGUGAUAUGAACCGUUAUAACCGGCGAUGUCCGAAUGGGGAAACCCAGUGCAAUUCGUUGCACUAUCGUUAACUGAAUACAUAGGUUAACGAGGCGAACCGGGGGAACUGAAACAUCUAAGUACCCCGAGGAAAAGAAAUCAACCGAGAUUCCCCCAGUAGCGGCGAGCGAACGGGGAGCAGCCCAGAGUCUGAAUCAGCUUGUGUGUUAGUGGAACGGUCUGGAAAGUCCGACGGUACAGGGUGAUAGUCCCGUACACCAAAAUGCACAGGCUGUGAACUCGAAGAGUAGGGCGGGACACGUGGUAUCCUGUCUGAAUAUGGGGGGACCAUCCUCCAAGGCUAAAUACUCCUGACUGACCGAUAGUGAACCAGUACCGUGAGGGAAAGGCGAAAAGAACCCCGGCGAGGGGAGUGAAAAAGAACCUGAAACCGUGUACGUACAAGCAGUGGGAGCACCUUCGGGUGUGACUGCGUACCUUUUGUAUAAUGGGUCAGCGACUUAUAUUCUGUAGCAAGGUUAACCGUAUAGGGGAGCCGCAGGGAAACCGAGUCUUAACUGGGCGUUAAGUUGCAGGGUAUAGACCCGAAACCCGGUGAUCUAGCCAUGGGCAGGUUGAAGGUUGGGUAACACUAACUGGAGGACCGAACCGACUAAUGUUGAAAAAUUAGCGGAUGACUUGUGGCUGGGGGUGAAAGGCCAAUCAAACCGGGAGAUAGCUGGUUCUCCCCGAAAGCUAUUUAGGUAGCGCCUCGUGAAUUCAUCUUCGGGGGUAGAGCACUGUUUCGGCUAGGGGGUCAUCCCGACUUACCAACCCGAUGCAAACUACGAAUACCGAAGAAUGUUAUCACGGGAGACACACGGCGGGUGCUAACGUCCGUCGUGAAGAGGGAAACAACCCAGACCGCCAGCUAAGGUCCCAAAGUCAUGGUUAAGUGGGAAACGAUGUGGGAAGGCACAGACAGCCAGGAUGUUGGCUUAGAAGCAGCCAUCAUUUAAAGAAAGCGUAAUAGCUCACUGGUCGAGUCGGCCUGCGCGGAAGAUGUAACGGGGCUAAACCAUGCACCGAAGCUGCGGCAGCGACACUAUGUGUUGUUGGGUAGGGGAGCGUUCUGUAAGCCUGCGAAGGUGACCUGUGAGGGUUGCUGGAGGUAUCAGAAGUGCGAAUGCUGACAUAAGUAACGAUAAAGCGGGUGAAAAGCCCGCUCGCCGGAAGACCAAGGGUUCCUGUCCAACGUUAAUCGGGGCAGGGUGAGUCGACCCCUAAGGCGAGGCCGAAAGGCGUAGUCGAUGGGAAACAGGUUAAUAUUCCUGUACUUGGUGUUACUGCGAAGGGGGACGGAGAAGGCUAUGUUAGCCGGGCGACGGUUGUCCCGGUUUAAGCAUGUAGGCUGGUUAUCCAGGCAAAUCCGGAUAAUCAAGGCUGAGGUGUGAUGACGAGGCACUACGGUGCUGAAGUAACAAAUGCCCUGCUUCCAGGAAAAGCCUCUAAGCAUCAGGUAACAUUAAAUCGUACCCCAAACCGACACAGGUGGUCAGGUAGAGAAUACCAAGGCGCUUGAGAGAACUCGGGUGAAGGAACUAGGCAAAAUGGUGCCGUAACUUCGGGAGAAGGCACGCUGGUGUGUAGGUGAAGUCCCUGCGGAUGGAGCUGAGACCAGUCGAAGAUACCAGCUGGCUGCAACUGUUUAUUAAAAACACAGCACUGUGCAAACACGAAAGUGGACGUAUACGGUGUGACGCCUGCCCGGUGCCGGAAGGUUAAUUGAUGGGGUUAUCCGUAAGGAGAAGCUCUUGAUCGAAGCCCCGGUAAACGGCGGCCGUAACUAUAACGGUCCUAAGGUAGCGAAAUUCCUUGUCGGGUAAGUUCCGACCUGCACGAAUGGCGUAAUGAUGGCCAGGCUGUCUCCACCCGAGACUCAGUGAAAUUGAACUCGCUGUGAAGAUGCAGUGUACCCGCGGCAAGACGGAAAGACCCCGUGAACCUUUACUAUAGCUUGACACUGAACAUUGAGCCUUGAUGUGUAGGAUAGGUGGGAGGCUUUGAAGCGUGGACGCCAGUCUGCGUGGAGCCAACCUUGAAAUACCACCCUUUAAUGUUUGAUGUUCUAACGUUGGCCCCUGACCGGGGUUGCGGACAGUGUCUGGUGGGUAGUUUGACUGGGGCGGUCUCCUCCCAAAGCGUAACGGAGGAGCACGAAGGUUAGCUAAUCCUGGUCGGACAUCAGGAGGUUAGUGCAAUGGCAUAAGCUAGCUUGACUGCGAGCGUGACGGCGCGAGCAGGUGCGAAAGCAGGUCAUAGUGAUCCGGUGGUUCUGAAUGGAAGGGCCAUCGCUCAACGGAUAAAAGGUACUCCGGGGAUAACAGGCUGAUACCGCCCAAGAGUUCAUAUCGACGGCGGUGUUUGGCACCUCGAUGUCGGCUCAUCACAUCCUGGGGCUGAAGUAGGUCCCAAGGGUAUGGCUGUUCGCCAUUUAAAGUGGUACGCGAGCUGGGUUUAGAACGUCGUGAGACAGUUCGGUCCCUAUCUGCCGUGGGCGCUGGAGAAUUGAGGGGGGCUGCUCCUAGUACGAGAGGACCGGAGUGGACGCAUCACUGGUGUUCGGGUUGUCAUGCCAAUGGCACUGCCCGGUAGCUAAAUGCGGAAGAGAUAAGUGCUGAAAGCAUCUAAGCACGAAACUUGCCCCGAGAUGAGUUCUCCCUGAGACUUUAAGUCUCCUGAAGGAACGUUGAAGACGACGACGUUGAUAGGCCGGGUGUGUAAGCGCAGCGAUGCGUUGAGCUAACCGGUACUAAUGAACCGUGAGGCUUAACCUUACAACGCCGAAG